rnacentral:rRNA from 1 species
UACAGAGGUGCCAAGCGUUAGGCGGAAUCACUGGGCUUAAAGCGCGCGUAGGCGGAUGUUUAAGUGUCUUGUGAAAUCCCACGGCUCAACCGUGGAACUGCUGGGCAUACUGGACAUCUCGAGGCACUCAGGGGCGAGCGGAACAAGUGGUGGAGCGGUGAAAUGCGUAGAGAUCGGAAAGAACACCAACGGCGAAAGCACUCUGCUGGGCCGACACUGACACUGAGAGACGAAAGCUAGGGGAGCGAAUGGG